rnacentral:tRNA from 2 species
GCCUCCGUAGCUCAGCGGAUAGAGCACGGCUCUCCUGAAGCCGGUGUCGCAGGUUCAAAUCCUGCCGAGGGCA